AAACCGUUCAGGGGUAAACCUGAGAAACCCGAAAGAUCGAAUGGGGAGAUUCAUCUUCAGCGACUUUGGCUUCCGUGCGGUGCGCGAUGUUCGGGACCACGGUCUCGGGGCACGCGUCCGCUGCGACAUGUCCGAAGUCGUCGUAGUGCACUUCUCCCCUAGUAGGACGUCGCGACCCGUUGGGUGCCGGCUCACGGCCCGAUUGGUCGCCUGUCGCGUCUCGUUUACGCGUGCACGCGACAGACCAUCGGUCGCCCGGCCGGCUGCCCGGCGGUAUUAGAACGCUUUUAAACGGUAUUGGGCCGCACCAAGUGCGUUCAGGCUCGUCGGCAGGCUCAUCUCGCCCGGAUUUACGGACCUAGCGCCGUUGCCGGGCGCUUGAUGUGGCCGCUAGUCGACGAUGUCCUCGGACUGGCUCUCGUAUUCGAACGGAUAUACCGGUCGGCGACGCUACUGCUUUGGGUACUUUCAGGA
rnacentral:rRNA from 1 species